rnacentral:tRNA from 1 species
ACCUACUUGACUCAUUGGUUAAAGUACUUCUUUCAUACAACGAGAGAGUCGGUUCAAAUCCAAUAGUAGGUA